CGUUUGGAAUGCUAUCAGAGUAGGACAGAUUAGUAGGCGAACCAGAUGCUCAGUCGGCGAAUGAACAAAAAUUUUCUAAUAUUCUCACAAUUUACGCAUAAUGCUUAUUUAGGAAAUUUAUAAAAUAAAAAAUUAUCAAAUGUGAUUGCUAAUGCGACCGGAGUCAUCCCAAUAUCAAGUGCAGUCCUUGCGCUAGCUUUAUCGUUUCGGUACAAGUAAGAGUUAAAAAGGCCCAUUAUGUCUGACUUAAGGAUACAGGACUCUAAGCCUAAUACUGGAGCAGGAUGCCGCUGCGCUCCAAGCCAUACCAUUAUCGAAACGAAUAUGCAAUGUGGAGCGAAUAUACCAACCGUACAACCAUGCGGCGGUCCACAGGGUCAACACUGUGCUAUAAGGUAUGGGCCGCCACCCGCACCUGUUUAUCAAAGGCCCCGAAACCAAGCCCAGUGCCGACAUUGCAGGCGAAACUCAAAAAAGCGAUGCGUUAUUCAAUAGACUCCGGCGCAGGCAGUUGUCGCAAUGCUAAAUUUACAAUAUUCAAGUAAUCAAAGCUGGCUUUACAUAAUCACCAUAUUUUUAGUUUUUCCAAAUCAUUUAGAAAAAUUUCAAAAUUCAAGUCGGCUGCAGAACAAAAAUAUCUCCAAAUGUAAAUUGCUAGGAAACAAAAAAAACAAAAAAAAAAGAAGCUAAAUUCCAUCUUAAAAGCUGAUGCUGGUGAAAUCUAUUUCAUUGUUAACUACACCCAUCAAGACCCAAGAGUAAGAUGUCCCAGUCAAAUAUUCCUAGCGAGCCUUCAGAGCCUAGAGAUUGCCGAUGUACUCCAUUCCAUGAACUACAACAACAACAACAACUACAGCAACAACGGGCUUUGCAACCAGAGAUCAUACGGAUUCCUUGCAGAAGCGGAACUCUUCCCGAGUUGCCACCCAAUCAGUAUUACGGUUGUCAAGAUCGCAAACAGAAACGGAAGUGCAGCAUACAAUAGGUUAUAUCUCGGAACAAUGAUAUCGGAACGGGAAUAAGCUUUAUACUCUAAAAUAAUCGGCAUAGCAGGCGUUACAAAUGGAGAAACUAAAGAGGCUGCUUGUAAAUUACUGACAUCCACAGUUAGCAAAAUUUUCAGUUUUUCAUUCAAACACUAAGCAAUCCUAAGGACUUCCGGCAUUGAACCCAAUGUGAUUGCUAAUGGGCAAUCGCCUCGGCUUCGGCGCCGCGCCUUGUAACAUACAGCGCAGGUACGCUAAUUAUCCCUAUCGCCAGGGAUGUCAUCCCGAAAGUGACGUUUGGCACGGGACUCACAGAGACAUGUGUAGAAAACGCAGCCGGAAUUGUUUUGUCAUUCGCAGUCCACCUGUUGCCAAACGACAGCGGCCACCAUGCCGUCAAGGGUGUUCCUCAAGCGUAGAUUCAGAGUGCUGUUGUCCACCGCCAGAACCAAUUUUCAGGCGACCAUGCCGUCGGGUAACG